rnacentral:rRNA from 1 species
CCCUUUGGGUGUGACUGCGUACCUUUUGUAUAAUGGGUCAGCGACUUAUAUUCUGUAGCAAGGUUAACCGAAUAGGGGAGCCGGAGGGAAACCGAGUCUUAACCGGGCGUUAAGUUGCAGGGUAUAGACCCGAAACCCGGUGAUCUAGCCAUGGGCAGGUUGAAGGUUGGGUAACACUAACUGGAGGACCGAACCGACUAAUGUUGAAAAAUUAGCGGAUGACCUGUGGCUGGGGGUGAAAGGCCAAUCAAACCGGGAGAUAGCUGGUUCUCCCCGAAAGCUAUUUAGGUAGCGCCUCGUGAAUUCAUCUCCGGGGGUAGAGCACUGUUUCGGCUAGGGGGCCAUCCCGGCUUACCAACCCGAUGCAAACUGCGAAUACCGGAGAAUGUUAUCACGGGAGACACACGGCGGGUGCUAACGUCCGUCGUGAAGAGGGAAACAACCCAGACCGCCAGCUAAGGUCCCAAAGUCAUGGUUAAGUGGGAAACGAUGUGGGAAGGCCCAGACAGCCAGGAUGUUGGCUUAGAAGCAGCCAUCAUUUAAAGAAAGCGUAAUAGCUCACUGGUCGAGUCGGCCUGCGCGGAAGAUGUAACGGGGCUAAACCAUGCACCGAAGCUGCGGCAGCGACACUGUGUGUUGUUGGGUAGGGGAGCGUUCUGUAAGCCUGUGAAGGUGUGUCGUGAGGCAUGCUGGAGGUAUCAGAAGUGCGAAUGCUGACAUAAGUAACGAUAAAGCGGGUGAAAAGCCCGCUCGCCGGAAGACCAAGGGUUCCUGUCCAACGUUAAUCGGGGCAGGGUGAGUCGACCCCUAAGGCGAGGCCGAAAGGCGUAGUCGAUGGGAAACGGGUUAAUAUUCCCGUACUUGGUGUUACUGCGAAGGGGGGACGGAGAAGGCUAUGUUGGCCGGGCGACGGUUGUCCCGGUUUAAGCGUGUAGGUGUGUGUUCCAGGUAAAUCCGGUUCACUUUAACACUGAGGCGUGACGACGAGGCACUACGGUGCUGAAGCAACAAAUGCCCUGCUUCCAGGAAAAGCCUCUAAGCAUCAGGUAACAUCAAAUCGUACCCCAAACCGACACAGGUGGUCAGGUAGAGAAUACCAAGGCGCUUGAGAGAACUCGGGUGAAGGAACUAGGCAAAAUGGUGCCGUAACUUCGGGAGAAGGCACGCUGACACGUAGGUGAAGUGAUUUACUCAUGGAGCUGAAGUCAGUCGAAGAUACCAGCUGGCUGCAACUGUUUAUUAAAAACACAGCACUGUGCAAACACGAAAGUGGACGUAUACGGUGUGACGCCUGCCCGGUGCCGGAAGGUUAAUUGAUGGGGUCAGCGCAAGCGAAGCUCCUGAUCGAAGCCCCGGUAAACGGCGGCCGUAACUAUAACGGUCCUAAGGUAGCGAAAUUCCUUGUCGGGUAAGUUCCGACCUGCACGAAUGGCGUAAUGAUGGCCAGGCUGUCUCCACCCGAGACUCAGUGAAAUUGAACUCGCUGUGAAGAUGCAGUGUACCCGCGGCAAGACGGAAAGACCCCGUGAACCUUUACUAUAGCUUGACACUGAACAUUGAGCCUUGAUGUGUAGGAUAGGUGGGAGGCUUUGAAGUGUGGACGCCAGUCUGCAUGGAGCCGACCUUGAAAUACCACCCUUUAAUGUUUGAUGUUCUAACGUGGACCCGUUACCCGGGUUGCGGACAGUGUCUGGUGGGUAGUUUGACUGGGGCGGUCUCCUCCUAAAGAGUAACGGAGGAGCACGAAGGUUGGCUAAUCCUGGUCGGACAUCAGGAGGUUAGUGCAAUGGCAUAAGCCAGCUUGACUGCGAGCGUGACGGCGCGAGCAGGUGCGAAAGCAGGUCAUAGUGAUCCGGUGGUUCUGAAUGGAAGGGCCAUCGCUCAACGGAUAAAAGGUACUCCGGGGAUAACAGGCUGAUACCGCCCAAGAGUUCAUAUCGACGGCGGUGUUUGGCACCUCGAUGUCGGCUCAUCACAUCCUGGGGCUGAAGUAGGUCCCAAGGGUAUGGCUGUUCGCCAUUUAAAGUGGUACGCGAGCUGGGUUUAGAACGUCGUGAGACAGUUCGGUCCCUAUCUGCCGUGGGCGCUGGAGAACUGAGGGGGGCUGCUCCUAGUACGAGAGGACCGGAGUGGACGCAUCACUGGUGUUCGGGUUGUCAUGCCAAUGGCACUGCCCGGUAGCUAAAUGCGGAAGAGAUAAGUGCUGAAAGCAUCUAAGCACGAAACUUGCCCCGAGAUGAGUUCUCCCUGAGACUUAAAGUCUCCUGAA